GACCGUUAGGCUCAUUGGUUAGAGCGGAGGACUGUAGUUUGAUUAAUCUAAGUUGGAUCCUUAGUCGCUGGUUUGAAUCCGGCAGGUUG
rnacentral:tRNA from 1 species